rnacentral:rRNA from 1 species
GACGAACGCUGGCGGCGUGCCUAAUACAUGCAAGUCGAACGAGAGCGCCCGGUGCUUGCACUGGUCAAUCUAGUGGCGAACGGGUGAGUAACACGUGGGUAACCUGCCCAUCAGAGGGGGAUAACAUCCGGAAACGGAUGCUAAAACCGCAUAGGUCUUCGAACCGCAUGGUUUGAAGAGGAAAAGAGGCGCAAGCUUCUGCUGAUGGAUGGACCCGCGGUGCAUUAGCUAGUUGGUGAGGUAACGGCUCACCAAGGCCGUGAUGCAUAGCCGACCUGAGAGGGUGAUCGGCCACAUUGGGACUGAGACACGGCCCAGACUCCUACGGGAGGCAGCAGUAGGGAAUCUUCCGCAAUGGACGCAAGUCUGACGGAGCAACGCCGCGUGAGUGAAGAAGGUUUUCGGAUCGUAAAACUCUGUUGUUAGAGAAGAACAAGUGCUAGAGUAACUGUUAGCGCCUUGACGGUAUCUAACCAGAAAGCCACGGCUAACUACGUG